AUAUCUGUGUACCUAAAACAAAGGUUCUUAGUAUCUUGUAUACUGUAGUUUAUACUUUAAAAACAAUUUAUGUGUAUAGAUGUUUUACCUGCAUGUAUGUCUGUAUAACAUAUGCAUGCUUGGUGAGGUUGUCAGAUCAUCUGGAACUAGAGUUACAGAGACUUGUGGGCCACAACAUGGGUGCUGGAAGUUGAACCUGGGUCUUCUGGGAGAGCAGCUAGAACACUCUUAUCUGGUAAGCUAGUUCUCUAGCCCCCAAGAUUUUAUAUUUCAAUUUGAUUUUUCAAAAAAGUUUGAGUUUGUUUAGAAUUUCCCCCUACAACAGAAAUGACAGCCACAGUGCACGUGCACAUGCACAGAGAGACACAAAGCAGCUGCAGAGCAGCAAGUGAGGCUGUUUCUGCUGACAGGGAUAAAAACAUGGGAGAACAAAACCUUAGUAAAUGCUUAGUCUGUGGACUUUUGUUCUAAUGAGCAAUGGUUUUAUCCCAGACUGCAAUGAAGGUUUCUGAGCACAUCCUUUUGUUUCCAGUUUCUUACUGUGAGGGCUUCUGCUGUCUUCUGGCUGAGCGUUUGGGUGGUGGCACCUCUGAUAUAGAAGGAAUCCCUUAACAUGCCCAGACUGCCUCUGCCUUGGACGUCAUCCAGUAAUUAAAGUCAAGCAGACCAAAGGGAGGAAACCUGCAAGUCGGGGAGGCAUUCUUUGUGUCUCUUGUCUUUCUCCAAACGCUCUGAUAAGGCUACUUCCUUGCCUCAUGAACCCAGCUUGUUAAGCUGCUGAAAUGAAGGGAGAGAUAAGGGAAGGGAGAUGAACAAGCCAGGACCUGAGGCUGGAACUCUUGAGGGUGGGAGCCUCUGGGCAUGGGCUGCAGGUUCAUGUUGGUGCAGACAGGCUGUGCUAAAGACUGUGAUUAUAGGCUGCUCCUGCAGGUGAGUAAGGCUGGGGGUGUACAUUCCAGCCUGCUUUGAGGUCAGAAAGGAUGCUUCCAGUUUCCCGCCGUUCAUCUAAUUUAUUUCUCUUGCUCAGCUGUGGAGAUACAACGGCAGGGGAGUGGCCCUUUCACUAUGAUUGGCGAUUCCUUUUCAUGGGACUGGAAUGCCUCCAGUCUUACUGUUUAAUCACAACGCCCCAGGUAUUCUAGGUAGAAUAAAUGCAUUUGAACUAGGAAGACUUGGAAUCCAAUGUGUCCCUCUGCCAGGACAGAUGCAUGUGGAGCUGAUGUUGGACAAUCUGCUAGAGUCACUGUAUGUUCAUUCCAGUGAGAACAGGUCCUGGGACUGCCAAGACCUCCGUCAUGGUACAUAUUUUUUUUCCCCUCGUGAAUAUCCUGCUAGAAUCAUCUCUGAAUAUGGGUCAUUGUUCACAAGGAACACUUACUGUGGUGGUUUGAAUGAGAAUGGCUCCAUAUAUAUUUAAGUACUUGGCCCUCAAUUGGUGGAAAUAGUUGGGAAGGAUUAGGAGGUGUGUCCUCAUUAGAGGUGGUAUGCUGUAGGGAAGGAUUUUGAGGUUUCAAGUGACUAAUCAUUCUGAGAUUCUGUUUCUUUUCUUGUGGUUUUGUCUUAAGAGGUCAGCUCUCAGUUACUGCUCUAAGGCCAUGCCUGCCUGCCUGCUUGCUGCUAUGCUUCUUGCCUUGAUGGUCUUCCGAGAAAGAAUACCAUCUUCUUCAAGGAUUCUUAUAGGUGCUGUGUGUAGCAUGGCAAAGAAUGGGAAGCUUGGAAGAAUGACCAGUGAAGGACAGGUGAUACUUCUGUUGUGGUUUGAACGUGAAGUACUUCUAGGAUCUUGUGUUUGAAUACUCAGUCCAAGGCUAUUAGUUCUGCAUUUCGAGGCUAUGGGGCCUGGCCACAGGCUUUGAAGAGUCGCAUGUAGCAUUCCAUUUCCUCCCCAGAAGAGGGAAGGCAUUUACUUCCUCUCUUUAAAUCCAAGCUGAACCUGAAUGACAGCCCUCUAUGACUGGAACCUGCUGGGAGAGAGUGCUAAGACACCAGAGAGCUCUCGAAGUCUACCACUUCUGCUUGGAGUGACCCACCUCAAGCCCUCAGGACACAGGAGCAGACUGGGACUGGAUCCUUCCAGUUUCUGCCUGCGCCCAGAGCUGACCCUGUGACACAGCUCUUUCUACAAAGAUCCAGUGGGUAGAAAACUGGAUUCUCAGAAGUGUAGAUAAUGCUGAGAGCAAAGGUGAGACCAUCACUUCUUCUCACAUUCCUAGCCCAAGAGGAACACGCCUGGAGCCCUCUGGACACAGGAGCUGAGGUGCAGUCUUGGACAGGAUCCUUCCAAGUUCUGGCUCUGUAGAGGUGACCUUGAGCCACAACCAUCUGUGCUCAGAUCCCUCUGGGAGAGAUCCGAGGAGAAUCAAGCCACUGUCAAAGGCAGCAGGACCAGGUAACACCAGAGAUAACCAGAGGGCCAGAGGCAAGUGCAAGAAUGUAACCAACAGAAACAAGGCCACUUAGCAUCUUCAGAACCCAGUUCUCCCACCAGAGCAAGUGCAGAUCACCCCAACAUACUGG
rnacentral:sRNA from 1 species